UACAGAGGGUGCGAGCGUUAAUCGGAAUUACUGGGCGUAAAGCGCGCGUAGGCGGCUUUGCAAGUCGGGUGUGAAAUCCCCAGGCUUAACCUGGGAACUGCAUUCGAGACUGCAUUGCUAGAGUAUGGGAGAGGGAAGUGGAAUUUCCGGUGUAGCGGUGAAAUGCGUAGAUAUCGGAAGGAACAUCAGUGGCGAAAGCGACUUCCUGGACCAAUACUGACGCUGAGGAACGAAAGCUAGGGGAGCAAACAGG
rnacentral:rRNA from 1 species